rnacentral:lncRNA from 1 species
GCAACUUAAUAAAUUUCUAGCUUUGAAGUGCCACACGCCCGUGUAGGUGGGCCGUGUGGACUCACACGCCCGUUUGGCUUGGGGCACGCCCAUGCCCUUAGCCCGUGGGCAACACUGACUUUUGAACACGACCAUGGCACACACCCAUGCUGCCUGUUCGUAUUCAAUACUAACUUUGGGACACGGCUAUGGGACACGCCCGUGUGACCCACCCGUGUCCUAUACUAACUC